rnacentral:misc_RNA from 1 species
CUUUUUUUUUUUUUUUUACUGUAUUUGUACCAUAGGAUGAUAGUUUGAAGGUUCCUUUUUCUGAUUUUCAAUGAGCUAGACUCACUGAGGCUGAAUGUUUGACAGUCUCUUUUGGAUGGGACAGGUAGUUGAAGCCUGAAUAUUCUGGGCUGAAGGUGGUAAUGAUAGUUGAUUUGCAAGUUUGUUAAGGUAGUGAACUGAUUACUUUGAUUGGAAACAUUUGAUGGUUGAACAAUCUAGAGGAAUGUUUUAGAAUGGUUAAAGUGAUAUGACGGUUUCAUGUUUUGCUUUGUACCUCAUCUAUAUCAUACACUGUUAAAAUUGAAAUGCCAGAAACAUAAUAUGAUAAACUAUUUGCUUGUUAACGCAAUCAAAUGCCAAGAGAUUUAAGAGAAUUUAAAAUAUAUAAAUAGGAAAUAUGUCGAAUAAAUUGUUCAACGAUCCAUUAAAGAAGUGAUUUUGUGUUCUUUACAUUUACUAUAGAACAAUUAUGUUUCUGAUAUCAUCUGAUAAAACAGCUAACAUUUAUUGUUGUUUUCUCUCUCUCCACUCUCCCUGUCCCUCUCUGCACAAACACUUGUUGUUUUGUCACUGUCAAAAGGUUUUAUAUAUUUGUUUCCGAAUUUCCUUUUAAUCUGUUUUGUAAUUGAUAUUACAGUGAAAUCACAGCUGAAGGGCGGCGAAUUACCAAGCUUGAUCAGAUACUACUAAAUGGGAACAACAUCGCCAUUCUGGUUCCUGGUGGUUCCCCUGAUCCAGAAUGAAAACGCAGUGGAUGUAUGCUGAUUUUAGUUUUCUUUCUUCAUAUAACUGAUGAUGGAUUACAUCCUCAUUUUUAUUGAGAAGUGUAGCCAUUAAGAAUUUCUUCUCUCACUGUACUUUACCCAUGGAUGUAGUUCCAGCUAUUAUGGUGUAUGGGAUGAUGUUUGUUUUAAUGAUUAGUGUAAUAUCUUCUCUUGCCUCUUCUAGACACUCGUAAGGGUUUGUUUUAAGUUAAAUUGGAAGACUAUUUCUAGUGGUGAAAAGCCAGAAUGGGAGAUAAUCUGUGAUAAGAAUGGGAAAUGAAGAGGUUGAUUGGAGAAUGUUUAGCAAACAUUAUAGAUUUUUAAUAUGCUUGUCAAAUUCCGUAUGAUGCACAGAGAGUAGUUGUUAAGCAAUUGGCAUGCUUAUGUUCAUUAUAUUGCUGCUUGUGAAGAACCUUGUCAGCAUCCGAUCGUCAGAAAUUACAGUGCUUAAAUGUCAUCACACAAUUUUUUUUCUUAGGCUAUGUUUGGAUACCAACAUAUAAAUAAGAGAUUUAUAUUUAAUUUUAG